CUGUGAGCUCGAUGAGUAGGGCGGGACACGUGGUAUCCUGUCUGAAUAUGGGGGGACCAUCCUCCAAGGCUAAAUACUCCUGACUGACCGAUAGUGAACCAGUACCGUGAGGGAAAGGCGAAAAGAACCCCGGCGAGGGGAGUGAAAAAGAACCUGAAACCGUGUACGUACAAGCAGUGGGAGCCUCUUUAUGGGGUGACUGCGUACCUUUUGUAUAAUGGGUCAGCGACUUAUAUUCUGUAGCAAGGUUAACCGAAUAGGGGAGCCGAAGGGAAACCGAGUCUUAACUGGGCGUUAAGUUGCAGGGUAUAGACCCGAAACCCGGUGAUCUAGCCAUGGGCAGGUUGAAGGUUGGGUAACACUAACUGGAGGACCGAACCGACUAAUGUUGAAAAAUUAGCGGAUGACUUGUGGCUGGGGGUGAAAGGCCAAUCAAACCGGGAGAUAGCUGGUUCUCCCCGAAAGCUAUUUAGGUAGCGCCUCGUGAAUUCAUCUCCGGGGGUAGAGCACUGUUUCGGCAAGGGGGUCAUCCCGACUUACCAACCCGAUGCAAACUGCGAAUACCGGAGAAUGUUAUCACGGGAGACACACGGCGGGUGCUAACGUCCGUCGUGAAGAGGGAAACAACCCAGACCGCCAGCUAAGGUCCCAAAGUCAUGGUUAAGUGGGAAACGAUGUGGGAAGGCCCAGACAGCCAGGAUGUUGGCUUAGAAGCAGCCAUCAUUUAAAGAAAGCGUAAUAGCUCACUGGUCGAGUCGGCCUGCGCGGAAGAUGUAACGGGGCUAAACCAUGCACCGAAGCUGCGGCAGCGAC
rnacentral:rRNA from 2 species